rnacentral:sRNA from 1 species
UUGCGCCCCGGAUCAAAGCGGAAAUCCUUUCCUGAAAGGAAAGAUUGUAGCGACGAGCCGGAGAUGUG